rnacentral:rRNA from 1 species
AGAGUUUGAUCCUGGCUCAGAUUGAACGCUAGCGGGAUGCUUUACACAUGCAAGUCGAACGGCAGCGCGAGAGAGCUUGCUCUCUUGGCGGCGAGUGGCGGACGGGUGAGUAAUAUAUCGGAACGUGCCCAGUAGCGGGGGAUAACUACUCGAAAGAGUGGCUAAUACCGCAUACGCCCUACGGGGGAAAGGGGGGGAUCGCAAGACCUCUCACUAUUGGAGCGGCCGAUAUCGGAUUAGCUAGUUGGUGGGGUAAAGGCUCACCAAGGCAACGAUCCGUAGCUGGUUUGAGAGGACGACCAGCCACACUGGGACUGAGACACGGCCCAGACUCCUACGGGAGGCAGCAGUGGGGAAUUUUGGACAAUGGGGGAAACCCUGAUCCAGCCAUCCCGCGUGUAUGAUGAAGGCCUUCGGGUUGUAAAGUACUUUUGGCAGAGAAGAAAAGGUACCUCCUAAUACGAGGUACUGCUGACGGUAUCUGCAGAAUAAGCACCGGCUAACUACGUGCCAGCAGCCGCGGUAAUACGUAGGGUGCAAGCGUUAAUCGGAAUUACUGGGCGUAAAGCGUGUGUAGGCGGUUCGGAAAGAAACAUGUGAAAUCCCAGGGCUCAACCUUGGAACUGCAUUUUUAACUGCCGAGCUAGAGUAUGUCAGAGCGGGGUAGAAUUCCACGUGUAGCAKUGAAAUGCGUAGAUAUGUGGAGGAAUACCGGUGGCGAAGCCAGCCCCCUGGGAUAAUAKGKACGCUCAUACACGAAAGCCUUGGGAGCAAACAGGAUUAGAUACCCUGGUAGUCCACGCCCUAAACGAUGUCAACUAGCUGUUGGGGCCGUUAGGCCUUAGUAGCGCAGCUAACGUGKKAAGUUGACCGUCUGGGGAGUACGGUCGCAAGAUUAAAACUUAAAGGAAUUGACGG